rnacentral:lncRNA from 1 species
CAGGUCCAUGUUGGCACUCCGAAUCCCAACCGAGGUUGAAACCAUAUAAUGUUUCCCAUCGUCCACCGCAAGAUAAAUACACUGCAGACACACGCGAAAGUCCAAGAGGUCUCAAAAAUUGUUUUGUGCAAGUCGUCACUCUACCUCUAAGGCCUCCAGAGCCAUCCAGCGUGGUGGAGUUGCUGCCAAGGAUCCCUGGGGGGCGCGCCUGCCACACAUCUCUUCAUUCCUUGUGUGUAUUGUACAUUUUUGGCGAAAAAGAAUUUGCGACACACAAUCUGCCAUCUCACCUGUUGCCAAUAAAACUUCCUUCUGGAACUUAGACCAGAAUGUUUAACAGCUACAGGGAUGCCCGAGACGAGUCCACUGAAAAAACGACGAUCACGCGCACGACAAACUGAGACCCUCCCUACUGUGGCACAUCUCCAGUUUCGGUUUGAUGUGGGUACCUACAUUCAUGAAGAGUACCAAAUGAAGCUUUGCUUUUUUGCAUUCGUUUCGCCUCAGACCAGAAAGGCAGUGUGACUAAAAAAGGUCCAAACAUCGGAGUCUCUGGCACAGUGAAUGUUGUGGGUACCUACCAGAGGACACAGAAACGUCAAAAGAAAAAAGCCGAAGUGCCAGAUAUGUCGAACGGGAACUAUUCAUCCGAAAAAGCGGGUGAAUGUCAGCUAAAGUUUGCAGUAAGUGAAGUAUUUUCCGUCCAAGAUGAGUAGAGGGACAUAACACGGUAAGUCGUACUGAUUUUGGCUUUCUCUAGCACUUUAGCGACUCGUUGUUUCCGACAAACACGAGAAGGGAACUGUAUAAUGCGGUUGUUCUGGUCAGGUCGACAUUGGCUCUGUUUUGAAAAACCGCUUUAUGAGCAACAGUGUUUUGUAAGGUAUGCUGCAGUGCAAACCAAGGUGUGUGACGUCCGUUCUUUCUCAUUCAAUGGGCUGCUCCAACAAAAACCAAACUGAACUCCUCGUGAUUGAAGAAUUUAAACUUUACACUGGAUACAUUUUAAUGUUAACUUACUACAGACCAUGGGAGGGGCUUUUUUUAAAUGUUAAGCUGCAUUGUGUUUAAACUUUACACUGGAUACGUUUUAAUGUUAUCUUACU